GUGACAGAUAUAUUUAGAUUGACUUUUGCAAUGUUUACUCGCACGCUCAAAUGUUCAACGUUAGUCUCUUGGUGUUCUGUCAGUGGGUUGCAAAAAGUUUUUGAUGUAAAGGGCGACGCCACCACCUCUAGUGUUAACACAAUCUUUUUUGAAGAGUGUAGCCAUGUAGUAAUUCACUUUAUUAUGGCCUUCCUAAUAUCUGCUGAAGAAAUUACAACUUGUCAUGAACAGAGCUGCAAGGCUAAUAAAGGCUCUGCCCCUCGUGAGAGAGUAACACUUGCACUUAUAGACUUGCAAUGGCUACCCAUUAAGGCACGAAUAGUCUACAAAAAAUGUGUCUUGACUUACCAAGCAAAGCGACUUGGUAAACCUGGAUAUAUGAGAAAUUUACUGCAAGAAUUUCAUUCGACACCGCCAUGUCAGUGACACAGUGCAGAACAGCACAGACUCUAUGAGCCAAGGGUCAACCUGGAACUGGGUUUCAUAGCAUUUCAGAAGAGUGCCCCGCGGCUUUAUAAUGAGUUACCCGGGGAUGUUAACCCGUAGCGUACCGCCCUAUGUGAUACAAAAGUGGCCCCCAGUACCGCACUGGGAGUAAUUUUUUUUAUUGGCUAAAUCCCUUCAAAAUGACCCCAGUACAAUGGCGUAGUAAGGGGGGGGGGCGGGGGAGGCGGUCGCCCCCGGGUGACAGCUUGAAGGGGGUGCCAUGAUACAGGCUCAGGUCUAAUGGCUAAAUUCAGUGACGUAGCUAAGGGAAGGGGUGCUGGGGUCAUAUAAGAAGAUACCCCCCCAGGCCCCCAACAAAGGGACCUGCUGCCCCCCCCAAAUGGUCCAUUUGGGAGCCCCCUUUUGUUGCCAUACUCAUUUGUAGAAGCUAGUGUGUGGGGGGAACCCCACAAGGAGACAAGACCCCCGGGCCCCCGCCCCCCAGAUCUCCAGCCAUGCCGGCAUAUAUAAUAUCGCUGUGGAUAAUGAUGGAGUUUUGAUUACCCAGCUCCUGCCACGCGUGAGUGACGGCGCCUUGUGUUUCAUAUGAGUGUAGCAGAUGAAUUGCUUUGCUUGUAGCAGAGAUGCUAUUUACUAUACAAAACAUAUUUUUGCAUAAUGUUGAAGCUAAAAAACUGUACUCUAUCAUGUGAUGUUAAAAACCUGAAUGUAAAUGUUUGUUGUAGCAUGAAUCUCGCUGAACAGUAUCAUAGGUAGGUGAGAGGGGAGACGCCUAAGUGUUUGUUGUAGCAUGAAUCUCGCUGAACAGUAUCGUAGGUAGGUGAGAGGGGAGACGCCUGAGUGUUUGUUGUAGCAUGAAUCUCGCUGAACAGUAUCGUAGGUAGGUGAGAGGGGAGACGCCUAAGUGUUUGUUGUAGCAUGAAUCUCGCUGAACAGUAUCGUAGGUAGGUGAGAGGGGAGACGCCUAAGUGUUUGUUGUAGCAUGAAUCUCGCUGAACAGUAUCGUAGGUAGGUGAGAGGGGAGACGCCUGUGUUUGUUGUAGCAUGAAUCUCGCUGAACAGUAUCGUAGGUAGGUGAGAGGGGAGACGCCUAAGUGUUUGUUGUAGCAUGAAUCUCGCUGAACAGUAUCGUAGGUAGGUGAGAGGGGAGACGCCUAAGUGUUUGUUGUAGCAUGAAUCUCGCUGAACAGUAUCGUAGGUAGGUGAGAGGGGAGACGCCUAAGUGUUUGUUGUAGCAUGAAUCUCGCUGAACAGUAUCGUAGGUAGGUGAGAGGGGAGACGCCUAAGUGUUUGUUGUAGCAUGAAUCUCGCUGAACAGUAUCGUAGGUAGGUGAGAGGGGAGACGCCUGUGUUUGUUGUAGCAUGAAUCUCGCUGAACAGUAUCGUAGGUAGGUGAGAGGGGAGACGCCUAAGUGUUUGUUGUAGCAUGAAUCUCGCUGAACAGUAUCGUAGGUAGGUGAGAGGGGAGACGCCUGUGUUUGUUGUAGCAUGAAUCUCGCUGAACAGUAUCGUAGGUAGGUGAGAGGGGAGACGCCUGUGUUUGUUGUAGCAUGAAUCUCGCUGAACAGUAUCGUAGGUAGGUGAGAGGGGAGACGCCUAAGUGUUUGUUGUAGCAUGAAUCUCGCUGAACAGUAUCGUAGGUAGGUGAGAGGGGAGACGCCUAAGUGUUUGUUGUAGCAUGAAUCUCGCUGAACAGUAUCGUAGGUAGGUGAGAGGGGAGACGCCUGUGUUUGUUGUAGCAUGAAUCUCGCUGAACAGUAUCGUAGGUAGGUGAGAGGGGAGACGCCUAAGUGUUUGUUGUAGCAUGAAUCUCGCUGAACAGUAUCGUAGGUAGGUGAAAGGGGGGACGCCUGUGUUUGUUGUAGCAUGAAUCUCGUUGAACAGU